AUUGAACGCUGGCGGCAUGCCUUACACAUGCAAGUCGAACGGCAGCACGGGAGCAAUCCUGGUGGCGAGUGGCGAACGGGUGAGUAAAGUAUCGGAACGUGCCCAGUCGUGGGGGAUAACGUAGCGAAAGUUACGCUAAUACCGCAUACGAUCUAUGGAUGAAAGCGGGGGAUCGCAAGACCUCGCGCGAUUGGAGCGGCCGAUAUCAGAUUAGGUAGUUGGUGGGGUAAAGGCUCACCAAGCCGACGAUCUGUAGCUGGUCUGAGAGGACGACCGGCCACACUGGGACUGAGACACGGCCCAGACUCCUACGGGAGGCAGCAGUGGGGAAUUUUGGACAAUGGGCGAAAGCCUGAUUCAGCCAUGCCGCGUGCAGGAUGAAGGCCUUCGGGUUGUAAACUGCUUUUGUACGGAACGAAAAGGUUUGGGCUAAUAAGCUGAGCUCAUGACGGUACCGUAAGAAUAAGCACCGGCUAACUACGUGCCAGCCGCCGCAGUAA
rnacentral:rRNA from 1 species